rnacentral:rRNA from 1 species
AAUAGAUACCCCUGGUAGUCCACGCCGUAAACGAUGAGUGCUAAGUGUUAGAGGGUUUCCGCCCUUUAAUGCUGCAGCUAACGCAUUAAGCACUCCGCCUGGGGAGUACGGCCGCAAGGCUGAAACUCAAAGGAAUUGACGGGGGCCCGCACAAGCGGUGGAGCAUGUGGUUUAAUUCGAAGCAACGCGAAGAACCUUACCAGGUCUUGACAUCCUCUGCCAACCCUAGAGAUAGGGUGUUCCCCUUCGGGGGACAGAGUGACAGGUGGUGCAUGGUUGUCGUCAGCUCGUGUCGUGAGAUGUUGGGUUAAGUCCCGCAACGAGCGCAACCCUUGAUCUUAGUUGCCAGCAUUUAGUUGGGCACUCUAAGGUGACUGCCGGUGACAAACCGGNGGAAGUGGGGAUGACGUCAAAGUCAUCAUGCCCCUUAUGACCUGGGCUACACACGUGCUACAAUGGAUGGUACAAAGAGCUGCGAACCCGCGAGGGUAAGCCAAUCUCAUAAAGCCAUUCUCAGUUCGGA